AGUGAACGCUGGCGGUAGGCCUAACACAUGCAAGUCGAACGGCAGCACAGUAAGAGCUUGCUCUUACGGGUGGCGAGUGGCGGACGGGUGAGGAAUACAUCGGAAUCUACUUUUUCGUGGGGGAUAACGUAGGGAAACUUACGCUAAUACCGCAUACGACCUACGGGUGAAAGCAGGGGAUCUUCGGACCUUGCGCGAUUGAAUUAGCCGAUGUCGGAUUAGCUAGUUGGCGGGGUAAAGGCCCACCAAGGCGACGAUCCGUAGCUGGUCUGAGAGGAUGAUCGGCCACACUGGAACUGAGACACGGCCCAGACUCCUACGGGAGGCAGCAGUGGGGAAUAUUGGACAAUGGGCGCAAGCCUGAUCCAGCCAUACCGCGUGGGUGAAGAAGGCCUUCGGGUUGUAAAGCCCUUUUGUUGGGAAAGAAAAGCAGCAGGUUAAUACCCCGCUGUUCUGACGGUACCCAAAGAAUAAGCACCGGCUAACUUCGUG
rnacentral:rRNA from 1 species